CCUACGGGAGGCAGCAGUGGGGGAUAUUGCACAAUGGGGGGAACCCUGAUGCAGCGACGCCGCGUGGGUGAAGAAGCGCCUCGGCGCGUAAAGCCCUGUCAGCAGGGAAGAAAAUGACGGUACCUGAAGAAGAAGCCCCGGCUAACUACGUGCCAGCAGCCGCGGUAAUACGUAGGGGGCAAGCGUUAUCCGGAUUUACUGGGUGUAAAGGGGGCGCAGACGGCGAUGCAAGCCAGGAGUGAAAGCCCGGGGCCCAACCCCGGGACUGCUCAUGGAACUGCGUGGCUGGAGUGCAGGAGGGGCAGGCGGAAUUCCUGGUGUAGCGGUGAAAUGCGUAGAUAUCAGGAGGAACACCGGUGGCGAAGGCGGCCUGCUGGACUGCAACUGACGUUGAGGCCCGAAAGCGUGGGGAGCGAACGGGAUUAGAUACCCUUGUAGUC
rnacentral:rRNA from 1 species